UACGGGGGGAGCAAGCGUUGUUCGAAUUUACUGGGCGUAAAGGGCGCGUAGGCGGUCAGCACAAGUCAGUUGUGAAAUCUCCGGGCUUAACUCGGAAAGGUCAACUGAUACUGUGCGACUAGAGUGCGGAAGGGGCAACUGGAAUUCUUGGUGUAGCGGUGAAAUGCGUAGAUAUCAAGAGGAACACCUGCGGCGAAGGCGGGUUGCUGGGCCGACACUGACGCUGAGGCGCGAAAGCCAGGGGAGCGAACGGG
rnacentral:rRNA from 1 species